CAUUAGGUGGCUGAAAG
rnacentral:tRNA from 2 species